AAAGACUACUCGUAGCCAGCUUCGCGGAAUUUAGUCCACCUCGGUGACUGAGCAGUGGCGUAGCAAAGACUUUGCCCGAGCAUUCUACCCUCUGGCCCUCUGGCCCUGCAGUCUUUGGACUCAUGGCGCUCAGCUGGCAGUGUCCCUGUGGCGUCUUCGCUGACUCUAAAGAAGACUGCACAGAAAAGUUUCACGCAGAAGUAGCAGCAGGCGCCACACGGGGUGACAAGUACCCGGCGUUGCGGCGCGGAGGGGUCCACUGUCACUUCUGACCAGUCGGGCGCAAAUGGCCACAAGCAGCCUCUUUUCCACUUGGCAAGCUGGUACACCUGUUAAACAAAUAAAAAUAAAUAAACAAAAAAAUAAAUACCAAAAUUAUUGCAAAAAUGUGAGUAAUUGUCACUCAUACAUUAUCUACUUUAUUGCAUUGUUAAACUAUAUUCCAUUUGCCAUGUUAAACUAUCUACUUAAGAGCAAAUGCUCACUUACUCUCUAUUUCCAUGUUAAAUCAUCUACAUUGUCAUGUUAAAUUACCUACAUUGCCAUGUUAAACUACCUACAUUGCCAUGUUAAAAUUAUCUACAUCAGUGCAAUUGCACAACUCAAUUUACAUGUUAAUUCCAUUUAAAAUUUUAGGUAUAAAGCUUGUACAUAAAAUACCACUUCAUGCUACUACUUACCAACCUUGCUUUAAACUGCUUAGAACUGUUAAUUCAACUGCAUAAUUUAUAUGUUCUAUUAUGCCUUUCUAAUUCUUUUUUAAACUGUGUUUUAUUUCUAACCUGACAUCUUUUUCCAACAUUUAUGUCAAAAUUUGUCAAAAAAAUUAUGCUUUUCAAUUAUUUUGUUAAACCCUCAUGUAAAAACUUAUGAUGCAAUAAAAUGCUUUGAAAUACCAAAA